UUUGUUUGUUUUUUAUGAUGAGACUUAUAAAUUUAGUUGAGAUUUGAGAAUUUAAUUUUAUUAAUAUUCGAAUAUUAUAUAUAUGAUUCGGUUUUUUCAUAUAUUUUUAUUAAUAUUAAAAUAUUAUAUAUAUUCAAAUGUUAAUAAAAAUAUAAAACAUCUAACCGUAUCCGUAUCGUGAUUUUUUCAAUUUUUACCGUAUCGACGUAUCUGUAUCAUAAAGUAUCCGUACCGUGUACCAGCAUCUAUGCUUCCUAGUUAUCGAGCAACCCCCCUUAGGUACCAUAUGUCUCUCUCACUCUCUUUUUUUUUCCUUUAUUUCUUUCUUUCUUUGUUUAUUUACUUCUCCUUCCAUUCUUUCUUCUUUCGUUCCUAUCUUUUCUUUCUUUUACUUCUUUUCUUUCUUUCCUUUUUCUUUGCUUUUUCUUUCCCUUCUUCCUUCUUUUCUUCCUUUCUUUUUCUUUUCCGAUCCUUCCUUUCAAUCUUUUGUUUAUCUUCUUCUUUCUUUAUUUUCUUUUUCGUUCCUUUCUUUUUCUUCUCUCUUUCUCUCCUUAUUUUUUUCUUUCUCUUCUUUUCUUCCUUUCCUUCUUUCGUCUUUAUUCUUUCUUACAUGGAUGGAUUCCAAAGCCCCGCCCCCGUCUUAAUUCCUAUUUUACUUACAAAAACGAGAUAGGAUGGCCAAGACACCCACCAUCCUACUGGGACUUAAAACCGUGUUCCAUGUUAACUCCCAAAUCACCAGCACAAUAUAUUAUCACUUUCAAAAUGUUUGAUAAAUUCUAUUUAGUUGACAUUGGUUGUAACUUAUAAAUUAAAUUCAGUGGACCAAGGGGAGCAGAGUCAUGUAUUCUGGGUUAAACUUUGGCUGCAUGGUUCCUUAAAUGAGUCUGGUUUUCCUGUCGGGAUCCAACCAAACCAAUUGACUUUGUUGGAUUUUUUUUUCUCAUCAUUACUUGGCCCCAGUAUUUGUAUCUUAUCUUACUUGAGCACUAUUAAAACAGAACUUAUGAGGCCAUAUUGUUAGAAUAGUUUAAAGAAUCUUUAAGAGCAACUCAUUUUCCAUCAAUCAUUGAACGCAAAGGGACAAGAGGAAAAAACUAUUGUAUAAUGGUGUUCUUCCUAUCUUUAUCUUGAAGAUCACUGAGCUGGAGCUUCAUGUUGUUUGCAGGGGAGAAGGAUUUUUUAAAAACACAUGGUGAAAGACUGCUGGCAUCAUUUGUGGAUCCAUUUGUCAUCCGCCACCCCAAGGGCCACACCGUCCCCAGGCUUGAUGAUAAAAGUUUGGCGACGAUGCUAGACUUUCUGCAGAAGAUUGAAAAUGAUUUGUCUACAGGCACAACAUCGGACAAUGAGCACAAGGAAGAUGGUUUGAUGGAUUAGGAUCAUAAACUAUCUAACAUUUCUUCAUAUUAAGUGUUGUAAGUUUGUUCGAGAAAUUUUUAUUACUUCUGCCAGCAAGUGCAGCAUGGCUGGAGCAUGUGCAUUGCACAUGAUAGGAGAAUGUUGAAUUACUCUAUGUUUAGAAUUUCUCCAAAGAUUGGAUUAUACUGAAAUAUUGUUUGGAUUAUCAAUCAAAAAGAAAUAUUAAUUUGGAUUGUGAUUUUUUUUGAUUU